GAACGCUGGCGGCGUGGAUAAGACAUGCAAGUCGAACGAGAUCCUUAGCAAAGCUUGCUUUGCUAAGUCUAGUGGCGAACGGGUGAGUAACACGUGAGCAACCUGCCCAGAAGCAGGGGAUAAGCCACCGAAAGGUGGUCUAAUACCGUAUGUGAUACCAAGAGGCAUCUCUUGGCUAUUAAAGGGGGGGACCUUCGGGCCUCUCACUUCUGGAUGGGCUCGCGGCCUAUCAGCUUGUUGGUGAGGUAACGGCUCACCAAGGCAACGACGGGUAGCUGGUCUGAGAGGACGACCAGUCACACUGGAACUGAGACACGGUCCAGACACCUACGGGUGGCAGCAGUCGAGAAUCAUUCACAAUGGGCGAAAGCCUGAUGGUGCGACGCCGCGUGGAGGAUGACAGCCCUAGGGUUGUAAACUCCUGUCAUGAGAGAGUAAAGACUUAACGUUAAUACCGUUGGGUCCUGAUAGUAUCUCAAGAGGAAGGGACGG
rnacentral:rRNA from 1 species